rnacentral:tRNA from 1 species
CAGGGAGACAACAAAAUGUUUAAUAUUAUUAUUUUGUCACCUUAGGUCGAUCGGUAUCUCACGUUUUUAAUUUAUUAAGAAUUUCAUUUCCUAAGUUUUUUCUAGGUCACACCCAUUAUUUUUCCUGGGCCAUUAGCUCAGGUGGUUAGAGCGCACCCCUGAUAAGGGUGAGGUCCCUGGUUCAAGUCCAGGAUGGCCCAUAUCUCUAUGUUGGGGGUAUAGCUCAGUUGGUAGAGCGCCUGCUUUGCAAGCAGGAUGUCAGCGGUUCGAGUCCGCUUACCUCCACUGAUUACCACCUCUUCCAUAAUCUAUGAGAAGGAAAUGUUUUGAGUAGUGAUCACAUUCUGAACGAAGCUAGCUUCCUAAUGAAAUCAUUAAGAUGCUGGACUCAUUGAAUUAAUUUCAUUGUUUUCAGAGAACCUUGACAACUGCAUAGAUUAUUUUUAAAGACAAUAAGCAUCUUUAAUGAUGCAGAUUUAUUAUUUGUGCGAAUGCAUUAAUAACAAUUCUAUUAAGCUGAUGCUUCAA